rnacentral:rRNA from 1 species
AUUGAACGCUGGCGGAAUGCUUUACACAUGCAAGUCGAACGGCAGCACGGACUUCGGUCUGGUGGCGAGUGGCGAACGGGUGAGUAACAUAUCGGAACGUAUCCAAUAAUGGGGGAUAACUAAUCGAAAGGUUGGCUAAUACCGCAUACGCCCUACGGGGGAAAGCAGGGGAUCUUCGGACCUUGCGUUAAUUGAGCGGCUGAUAUCUGAUUAGCUAGUUGGUGAGGUAAAAGCUCACCCAGGCGACGAUCAGUAGCUGGUCUGAGAGGACCACCAGCCGCACUGGAAAGGGGACACGGUCCAGACUCCUGCGGGAGGCAGGGGUGGGGAAUUUUGGACAGUGGACGCAGGUGUGAUCCAGCCAUUCCGCGUGAGUUACGAAGGCCUUCGGGUUGUAAAACUCUUUCGCAAGGGAAGAAAACUUACUUUCUAAUAAAGAGUGAGGUUGACGGUACCUUGAUAAGAAGCACCGGCUAACUACGUGCCAGCCGCCGCCGUAA